rnacentral:rRNA from 1 species
GAUGAACGCUGGCGGCGUGCCUAAUACAUGCAAGUCGAGCGAAUGGAUUAAGAGCUUGCUCUUAUGAAGUUAGCGGCGGACGGGUGAGUAACACGUGGGUAACCUGCCCAUAAGACUAGGAUAACUCCGGGAAACCGGGGCUAAUACCGGAUAACAUUUUGAACCGCAUGGUUCGAAAUUGAAUGGCGGCUUCGGCUGUCACUUAUGGAUGGACCCGCGUCGCAUUAGCUAGUUGGUGAGGUAACGGCUCACCAAGGCAACGAUGCGUAGCCGACCUGAGAGGGUGAUCGGCCACACUGGGACUGAGACACGGCCCAGACUCCUACGGGAGGCAGCAGUAGGGAAUCUUCCGCAAUGGACGAAAGUCUGACGGAGCAACGCCGCGUGAGUGAUGAAGGCUUUCGGGUCGUAAAACUCUGUUGUUAGGGAAGAACAAGUGCUAGUUGAAUAAGCUGGCAUCUUGACGGUACCUAACCAGAAAGCCACGGCUAACUACGUGCCAGCAGCCGCAGUAA